GAACAGCACAGGAUCAUGGUUGUCAGCCUCAGAGGCAGACAGCUGAGGUUGAAAUCUUAGCUCUUGUGUUACUAGAAGGACAGUUUGAGGUAAGUUAUUAAGUGUCUUCAGGGCUUGGUUUUCCCAAGGAAUAAAAGCAUUCCCCUCCCUCCCUAACACACAUGUCCAGGGAGUGCAUGAGUUGUAAGGAUAUUAUCACAUGUAGAGCUUAGAAUAACAUGUGGCUGGUAGCCAGAGCAAGGCAGUCUCCUAAAUCAGUUUGGUUGAUAGCUUUCCUGGGCGUGAAGAGAAUUCAUGCAUGUCCUUGUGGGGCUUACAAAAGAAGAGCCAUUGCUUUUGACGAUGAAUAAUUGGUGUUCACCUCAACUUGCUUUCAAGGAAAGUUUGAGAGAUUGCUUUGAAAGAUUGGCUAAAAUUUAACAUGGGCACUAAGACGUUUUAAAUUGGAUUCAUGAUUCUGUCUUCACUGCACUCUGGAACUCUUCAAUGGGUAGUUACCUGCUUCCUAAUAACUUCAGUUGUCAUCCUGCUCUUUCCUUUCUGACUCACCCACAAUACUAACAAAGUUAGAGGUCUCAAACAUCAUGGAAGUGGUUAUUUUUGGUUCAGCACAUUAAUGUAUAAGAUUUUGUUUUGAUGAUGGUCGUAUCUGUUUGUAAUUUUCCCUUGGCCCUAGUGUGGUGGGGCACAUGGCAUAGCCCCUGGUCAGCAUGGGGCAUGAGAAUGGCAGCCCAUUUGCUCUGCUCGAGGUAUUCUCCCAUGGCAGUUAUUCAACCUCUUCAGAGGCUCCUUUUCCACAGUAGAAAGGAUAUUCAAAUCCUUACUAACUGUUCAGUGUUGGUGAGAAGGAUCUGUCGUCACAGCCCCUGCAGCAUGCAAGAGUCUCUUAGCGGCAAACCUAAGAACUCAGUUAAUAUUCACAGUUAUUUUAGUACAUCUUGGAUGCUGGAAUUUCCAUUAGGUGUCCCAGAAGAAUCAAAUUGGGUAGACUUUAUUCACCCAAUUUUUCCUUCAGGAAAAUCUAGAACAAGCUCCCAGAAAGUUGAAUCAACUCAAGAGGAAUGCGUGAAUCAAAAAUGUUUAUAACAAUCCAGAUAAUGGAAGUGAGAGGGAUUCUUAUCUGUGGAGGCUGGAGAAAGAAGAGCAGAUGCUGAUGAGCCUGAGGGAGAAUGAGGCCAACUUGGAGUGGAAGAACCAUGAACUCAAGAGCCACCUCCUGGAACUAGAGGCAAAAUGUCAGAGCUCAGCCCAGAAACUGGCGCAGGACUUGUGCUGUGAAGCUGGAAGCACCUGAGGCCUUUUCCUUGGAGGUUCAGACUGUGUUUGGUGCUGCUGAACUUUACAGGAAUAUGAAGAUGAAGUUAAUGGGUUAUCAAGUGCCAGUUACAAAAAUUACAGUUUCUGAGUGCUGUCUACAGAAUAGGACAUGUUCUGAUUGAUCAUCACUGGGGAAAUCUACCUCGGUACAGAGGGAGAGGACUGCAAAUGGUGAAUGGCAUCAGAAGAAAAGGGAAUUCAUUAAGAGACAAAGGGGGAGAAUUGUGAAGAUGAAAGAGUCACCUGUGUUUCAACUCUGCUGAAGAUAAAUGGAGCUGUAGAAGUUAUAAAAGAUUUCAGCCAUGAUUACUUUAAACAAAAG
ensembl:lncRNA